UUAGUUUUUCACUUUUUUCACUCAAUUUUUUUGACCUUACCAUAGUACCUGCAACUAUAUAUUUAAAUUUGGAAUAAUUUUUUACUUUUUAUAAUAUUUUUAUUGUACUAAUUUCAUUGCAUUCAAUUAUUUAAAAAAAUGCAAAUUUGAAUUGCACAUGCAUCGAAUAAUGAAUGUAGAGAUUUUUAAAAAUUAUAUUAAAUUUAGUGAGUGUCGUGUGAGGCCGUAUCCAGAAAUUGGAUGGAAAUUUCUAACAUAUUGUUCACCAGACAUGAAUGAAAACUUGCUGACAAAAUGUUUUUAAAAUCUAUAAAAUUCAAACGAAUUAAGAAAAUUACAAAACUCUAGGAAACAUCGUUAUAUCAUAUGUGUAAGUUAUACUAAAAAUUUGAGAAGGUUUGGUACACGUUGUCAUGUAUGAUGCUUAGAAACCACAACAUCAUACACACAUCUCACAUGUGAUCACAUAUGAGAUGUUCAGGUUUCUAAACAUCAUACGACCUAACGUGUGUGAAUCAUUCUCAAUUUUUUACCACAUCCUACACAUGUGAUCUCACGAUGUCUCGACAAGUUUCAUAAUUUUUAGACUAUGUUUGCAUUUAAUAUAAUUAAAAAGCUAUUCGCCCGUAAGUUUGGUGUAAUGUUUCGUGCCCAAGAUGUUCAAAAUUGCUUAAGUGUUCUUGGAUAGGGUUUCAAAGUACUCUAAGUAACACGAAUGUCAUUUUUUGAAUCAUUGAAUUCUACUAAUCGAGGCACCUGCAGUUCAACUUAUAUUUUUUGAAAAAUACAAAUAAAUGGAAAAAAUAAAUAAAUAUAGUAUAAGUUUCAAAAAAAAGUGCCAAAUUUUAACAUAUACUAUAAAAAACUAUGU
rnacentral:lncRNA from 1 species